rnacentral:rRNA from 1 species
GAGUUUGAUCAUGGCUCAGAUUGAACGCUGGCGGCAUGCUUUACACAUGCAAGUCGGACGGCAGCACGGGUGCUUGCACCUGGUGGCGAGUGGCGAACGGGUGAGUAAUGCAUUGGAACGUACCGAGUAGUGGGGGAUAACUGUCCGAAAGGAUAGCUAAUACCGCAUACGACCUCAGGGUGAAAGCAGGGGACCUUAGGGCCUUGCGCUAUUUGAGCGGCCAAUGUCUGAUUAGCUGGUUGGUGGGGUAAAGGCCUACCAAGGCGACGAUCAGUAGCGGGUCUGAGAGGAUGAUCCGCCACACUGGGACUGAGACACGGCCCAGACUCCUACGGGAGGCCAGCAGUGGGGAAUUUUGGACAAUGGGCGCAAGCCUGAUCCAGCCAUGCCGCGUGUCUGAAGAAGGCCUUCGGGUUGUAAAGGACUUUUGUACGGGAAGAAAAGGUUGUGGAUAAUACCCAUGACUGAUGACGUACC